GAUGAACGCUGGCGGCGUGCCUAAUACAUGCAAGUCGAGCGAACAGAUGAGGAGCUUGCUCCUCUGACGUUAGCGGCGGACGGGUGAGUAACACGUGGAUAACCUACCUAUAAGACUGGGAUAACUUCGGGAAACCGGAGCUAAUACCGGAUAAUAUAUUGAACCGCAUGGUUCAAUAGUGAAAGACGGUUUUGCUGUCACUUAUAGAUGGUUCGCGGCCGCAUUGGCUAGUUGGUAAGGUAACGGCUUACCAAGGCAACGAUGCGUAGCCGACCUGAGAGGGGGGUCGGCGACACUGGAACUGGAACGCGGUCCAGAGUCCUGCGGGAGGCAGCAGAAGGGAACCGGACGCAACGGGCGAAAGCCUGACGGAGCAACGCCGAGUGAGUUAUGAAGGUCCUCGGAUCGUAAAACUCUGUUAUUAGGGAAGAACAAAUGUGUAAGUAACUAUGCACGUCGUGACGGUACCUAGUCAGAAAGCCACGGCUAACUACGUG
rnacentral:rRNA from 1 species